rnacentral:rRNA from 1 species
CCUACGGGAGGCAGCAGUGAGGAAUAUUGGUCAAUGGGCUUACGCCUGAACCAGCCAAGUCGCGUGAGGGAAGACUGCCCUAUGGGUUGUAAACCUCUUUUGUCAGGGAGCAACGCCGGCUACGUGUAGCCGGACUGAGAGUACCUGAAGAAAAAGCAUCGGCUAACUCCGUGCCAGCAGCCGCGGUAAUACGGAGGGGGCAAGCGUUAUCCGGAUUUACUGGGUGUAAAGGGAGCGUAGACGGUUAUGUAAGUCUGGAGUGAAAGCCCGGGGCCCAACCCCGGGACUGCGUUGGAAACUGUGGAACUGGAGUGCAGGAGGGGCAGGCGGAAUUACUGGUGGAGCGGUGAAAUGCGUAGAUAUCAGGAGGAGCACCGGCGGCGAAGGCGGCCUGCUGGACUGAAACUGACGUGGAGGCUCGAAAGCGUGGGGAGCAAACAGGAUUAGAUACCCUAGUAGUC